ACAGAGAACUAUGGUAAACAUGUUACAAGUUUAUAGUUCAUUACCUAAAUUGUUCAAAACAGAGAUUUAGGGGGCUAUUAAUAAAAAGUAAAAGUAUAUGGUUUAACUAGUUACAAAGCAUAGAAAUAGAUUGAAGACUUUAUAAAGCAAAAGUUGAGGCGUUACAAUGCAAUAAACAGCAAAUUGUUAAACAAAAAGGAGUAUUUGUUGCUGUAACGAAAAAAAAAAGUGAAACUCGCCGGAAAACAAAGUAUGAACGUUUACGACGACGAGUCACUGAAGCAGGAGGUAAUCUACCUCCACUCCCUCUGGCACCAAGGCCCUCCCACCCGAAACCCGAUCCACGACCCGGUUCAGAGAUCCAGGCCCAAUUACAUCCCUCCGGCGGAUUUUCAGCUUCUCUCUCGCUACGGAGCCAACCCUAUUCACCCCCAACCUCCCCUCAGCAACAAGCGCUCCAGACCCGGGUCUGAUCGUGAAUGGCCCGUGAAGGAGCUCCCCCGUUAUCCCCCCACGGGCUGGCCCGAAGCCAAGCCGUGCAAAAAGGCUCGACCUUUAUCAGAUUCGGAGAAAGCGAAGCUCGCCGUGAGUCAGAUUCAGAGAGACACCCACCGCGCUUGCCGCGAGUUUUUCGGCAAGAGAGCAGCAACAUCUGGUGAAGAAUCGGAUGCUGAUGAUGGAGGAGGAGGAGGAGGAGGCGAGGAGUUUCAGUUUCUGUCGAGGCUGUUCGAGGAGAACGCGAAGCUGAAGGAGAGUUACGAGAAGAACACUGUGCACGGAGAAGUGUGGUGUCUCGUCUGUGGUGGGAGCGGGGAGAAGAGUGUGAGGAAGUUUAAGAACUGUUUGGCUUUGGUUCAGCAUUCGCUUGCUAUUCACAAGACUAUGAGGAAUCAGCAUAGGGCUCUUGCGCAGGUUGUGUGCAAUGUUCUUGGAUGGGAUGUUAACAAUCCUGUUGCUUCCAGCCAAAAAGACUCUCAGACAUUAGGGGUAGAGGCUGUGGAAGGUGCUACUGAGCUGCCUCAAGACCUAAAGAAGCUUCAGGAGAAACAACAUGUGAUGUCUGCUGAUGAACAAGCAAAGGCUGUUGUGUUACAAAUGCAGCAGAAUGCAUCAGAAGCUUUGAAAGGCAUUUCUGUCAAGGAUACUACUGGUUCAGUUGAGAAUGGUGAUGAACAAGUUUCCGAGGAGUUGGAGUCAAUAUCUCGACUCUUCUCAGAGAACGUUGAGCUGAAAAGUUACUACGAGAAAAACUCUGAAGGUGGACACUUUGUCUGCCUAGUGUGUUGUGCUGCGACUGAUAAGAAAAUGUUAAAGAGGUUCAAGCACUGUCAUGGACUUGUUCUGCACUCUACUAAAACCCCGAAAAUUGCAAUAAGAGCUCACAAGGCUUUUGCUCGGUUCGUCUGUAAACUGCUUGGCUGGGAGUUUGAUCAUCUUCCACGUAGAAUAGUGAAAGGUGGUGCUCCUCUUGUCGAAUCUAGUGCCAACCAGAACAAUGAGAAGCCAUCAUCGAUGAUCGAGGAACAUAUGAACGAAGACGAAGUCGAUGUUCCACAGGAAGAUAACGAGCCAUGCGUUGGAAAGUAGAUGGAUGCAAGCACAACCAAAUAACACAUUGUUCUCUUCUGGGAGUUCAAUUUAAAGAUUCAAGAUAAACAAAGUUAUGUAAAUGGAGGGCACUGAAUCUUCAGAUAGGCCUUUAAUUAAAACACCCCAGGAAGACACGACAGAGAAACAGAGGCAGUGACUCUGCAAAUUCAGAUAAAAAAUGGGGAGAGAAGAAGGCUCGAAGAAGAUGAAGAUCGCCAUUAUACAUCCAGAUCUUGGUAUAGGUAACGUCCUUCAUCAAGCGUUCAAUGAAUAUCCACUGAAUAAACGCAUUUCAGAGAGAUCGAAAGCUAUUUUAGCAGAGAGAUUGAUCGUGGAUGCAGUGGUUGAGCUUGCCUCGCACGGUCAUAAAGUUAAUGUAUUUACCUCUCACCACGACCAAUCUCGAUGCUUCGAGGCAACUCUUUCGGGCGUAUUUCAAGUAACGGUGUAUGGUUCUUUCCUGUCACGCCAUAUUUUCUACCGGUGCUUGUUUGUUUGCUCUUUGUGUUCUCUUGGGAUGGUCUACCUUCGAUGUUGUACUAGCAGACCAGGUUUCAGUCGUUGUCCCAUUGCUGAAACUCAAAACAUCAAAAGUUGAAUUUCCUCUCUAUAAACCGCUUUGAGAAGAAAAAGAACAUCAAUCUAGCCGUUUCAGCUUUUGCUAUUCUAUGCAACACAUAAGCAAAAUCUAACCGAUGUUGCCCUUACCGUUGCUGGAUGAACAUUUUGGUAUAGUUCCAUUAGAAGCAAUGGCUGCAUACAAACCUGUGAUAGCCUGCAACAGCGGUGGCCCUGUGGAGACAAUAAAGAACGGAGUAACAGGAUAUCUCUGUGAACUGACUCCAGAAGAUUUUAGUUCGGCGAUGGCUAAGUUUAUAGAGAGUCCUGAGUUGGCGAAGGGGAUGGGAAGUGAAGCGAGGAAACAUGUGGUUGAAACAUUCUCUGUGAAUCAGUAUCUUGUUCAUGUACUUUCAAGUCCUAAAGAAGAUUGACAUUCCUCUGUUUGGUAAUCAUAUAUCUUUUUACCAUACAAUAUAAGACGUGACAGCUAGCAAACAUAUACUUAAAAAUACUUGCAAGACUUUCUCUGUAACUUUUCUUGAUUUAUACUAUUUAUAGUCUUGAA